UACGGGGGGGGCAAGCGUUGUUCGGAAUUACUGGGCGUAAAGGGCUCGUAGGCGGCCAACUAAGUCAGACGUGAAAUCCCUCAGCUUAACUGGGGAACUGCGUCUGAUACUGGAUGGCUUGAGUUCGGGAGAGGGAUGCGGAAUUCCAGGUGUAGCGGUGAAAUGCGUAGAUAUCUGGAGGAACACCGGUGGCGAAGGCGGCAUCCUGGACCGACACUGACACUGAUGAGCGAAAGCCAGGGGAGCAAACGGG
rnacentral:rRNA from 1 species